ensembl:lncRNA
CGGGAGCAGAAAACGGUGACAUGAAAAUAAGGAGUCGACACAGGAUUCCAAGGGCAAUCAUCGCCAUAGCACUGUCACCAUGGUACCUUAUUACUUUAUGGAGGAGAGACAGGAACACCGCUGGGCAUAGAAGAGAAUGGACUGGGAGAGUAGUCAGGGUCGAGGGAAAGACAAACGGAGCAAAGUAAAGAGAGAUCCUUGAUGAAAAUCUGCCCCAGAGCACGGACCACAGACUGGGGUGAAGGUUUACCUUCCAACAGGACAACGACUCUAUGCACACAGCCAAGACAACGCAAGGGUGGCUUUGGGACAAGUCUCUAAACGUCCUUGAGUGGCCCAGCCACAGCUCGGACUUGAACCCGAUCAAACAUCUCUGGAGAGACCUGAAAAU